AGAGUUUGAUCCUGGCUCAGGACGAACGCUGGCGGCGUGCCUAAUGCAUGCAAGUCGAGCGACGCAUACCGGAGGGGUAACCCACUGGUAUGACGGAGCGGCGAACGGGUGAGUAACACGUGAGCAACCUGCCCCACAGACCGGGAUAGCCCAGGGAAACCUGGAUUAAUACCGGAUACCCUCGAACAACCACAUGGUUGGUCGAGGAAAUGCCUUUGUGCUGUGGGAUGGGCUCGCGGCUUAUCAGCUAGUUGGUGGGGUAACGGCCUACCAAGGCAUCGACGAGUAGCUGGUCUGAGAGGACGAUCAGCCACACUGGGACUGAGACACGGCCCAGACUCCUACGGGAGGCAGCAGCAGGGAAUCUUGCGCAAUGGGCGAAAGCCUGACGCAGCAACGCCGCGUGGGGGAUGAAGGCCUUCGGGUUGUAAACCCCUUUCAGGAGGGAAGAAAUUGACGGUACCUCCAAAAGAAGCCCCGGCCAACUACGUGCCAGCAGCCGCGGUAAUACGUAGGGGGCGAGCGUUGUCCGGAAUCAUUGGGCGUAAAGAGCUCGUAGGCGGUUCAGUAAGUCGGCUGUGAAAGUCCGAGGCUCAACCUCGGAACUGCAGUCGAAACUAUUGUGACUCGAGUCCGGUAGAGGAGAAUGGAAUUCCCGGUGUAGCGGUGAAAUGCGCAGAUAUCGGGAGGAACACCAGUA
rnacentral:rRNA from 1 species